UACGUAGGGCGCAAGCGUUGUCCGGAAUUAUUGGGCGUAAAGAGCUCGUAGGCGGCCUGUUGCGUCCGCUGUGAAAUCCCGGGGCUCAACCCCGGGCCUGCAGUGGAUACGGGCUGGCUGGAGGCAGGCAGGGGAGAACGGAAUUCCUGGUGUAGCGGUGAAAUGCGCAGAUAUCAGGAGGAACACCGAUGGCGAAGGCAAUCCCCUGGGCCUGUACUGACGCUCAUGCACGAAAGCGUGGGGAGCAAACAGG
rnacentral:rRNA from 1 species